rnacentral:rRNA from 1 species
GACGAACGCUGGCGGCGUGCUUAACACAUGCAAGUCGAACGGAAAGGCCCUGCUUUUGUGGGGUGCUCGAGUGGCGAACGGGUGAGUAACACGUGAGUAACCUGCCCUUGACUUUGGGAUAACUUCAGGAAACUGGGGCUAAUACCGGAUAGGAGCUCCUGCUGCAUGGUGGGGGUUGGAAAGUUUCGGCGGUUGGGGAUGGACUCGCGGCUUAUCAGCUUGUUGGUGGGGUAGUGGCUUACCAAGGCUUUGACGGGUAGCCGGCCUGAGAGGGUGACCGGCCACAUUGGGACUGAGAUACGGCCCAGACUCCUACGGGAGGCAGCAGUGGGGAAUAUUGCACAAUGGGCGGAAGCCUGAUGCAGCAACGCCGCGUGCGGGAUGACGGCCUUCGGGUUGUAAACCGCUUUCGCCCGUGACGAAGCGUGAGUGACGGUAAUGGGUAAAGAAGCACCGGCUAACUACGUGCCAGCAGCCGCGGUGAUACGUAGGGUGCGAGCGUUGUCCGGAUUUAUUGGGCGUAAAGGGCUCGUAGGUGGUUGAUCGCGUCGGAAGUGUAAUCUUGGGGCUUAACCCUGAGCGUGCUUUCGAUACGGGUUGACUUGAGGAAGGUAGGGGAGAAAUGGAAUUCCUGGGGGAGCGGUGGAAUGCGCAGAUAUCAGGAGGAACACCAGUGGCGAAGGCGGUUCUCUGGGCCUUUCCUGACGCUGAGGAGCGAAAGCGUGGGGAGCGAACAGGCUUAGAUACCUGGGUAGUCCACGCUGUAAACGGUGGGUACUAGGUGUGGGGUCCAUUCCACGGGUUCCGCGCCGUAGCUAACGCUUUAAGUACCCCGCCUGGGGAGUACGGCCGCAAGGCUAAAACUCAAAGGAAUUGACGGGGCCCCGCACAAGCGGCGGAGCAUGCGGAUUAAUUCGAUGCAACGCGUAGAACCUUACCUGGGUUUGACAUGGAUCGGGAGUGCUCAGAGAUGGGUGUGCCUCUUUUGGGGUCGGUUCACAGGUGGUGCAUGGCUGUCGUCAGCUCGUGUCGUGAGAUGUUGGGUUAAGUCCCGCAACGAGCGCAACCCUUGUUCACUGUUGCCAGCACGUUAUGGUGGGGACUCAGUGGAGACCGCCGGGGUCAACUCGGAGGAAGGUGGGGAUGACGUCAAGUCAUCAUGCCCCUUAUGUCCAGGGCUUCACGCAUGCUACAAUGGCUGGUACAGAGAGUGGCGAGCCUGUGAGGGUGAGCGAAUCUCGGAAAGCCGGUCUCAGUUCGGAUUGGGGUCUGCAACUCGACCUCAUGAAGUCGGAGUCGCUAGUAAUCGCAGAUCAGCAACGCUGCGGUGAAUACGUUCCCGGG